ACAGACAUACUUGGAACUAUUUUGAAAUAUCACUUACCUGCCUAAUUGUUUCUGUUUUUCUCAUUUGUCCUUGAUGUCUUUUCUUUUAAUUUUAUCUCUGCCUUUUACAUUUAUAUUAUUUUACACUUAAAAUCAUAGUUUUUAGACCUGACCCGGUCCAAGAUUUAGGUUUAAGAUUUUGAUUGGGUCACUGAGUUAUCAAGGUCAUUUAUUUUUAAAUCAAAACGACAUUGUUCUAAUAAAAAAAAAUAAAAAUCAACGAGUUGCAACCGGGUUUUUGGCCGGAUCACACCGGGUUUUUUUUUUUUUUUUUCAAUCCGACCCGGUUCCAAUCCCAGGUCGACUCGUCAAGCCAGGUUUCAAAAGAAUGCUUAAAAUCUUUAAUUAUUAGUUUUAUUUUGAAUUAUUUGAAUUUUUUAAUUUGAAAUCAUAACGUUGUUUAAAUGUUCUUAUUAGACAAUUAGUCGAAAUAGAUUUAUACUUUAUUUUUGUUUCAUCAAAGAUGUAGUAUUUUUAUAUCUUUCGAACUUCAAGUUAUUGGUUGAAAUAUGUAGAGAAUAUGCCACGAGACCACUUUUAAAAUAAUUUAUUAUAAUCAAAUAAAGUAGUGUAAUCACUCAAAUUUCUUUGUGAAUUUGAAAUGAAAAAAUAUUGAUAAUAGUAAGAAUUAGAUAACUAAUUUUUUUAUGAAAGACAAGAAUUUUAUUAACUAAAUAAUUUAGCUAUGAAGAGCAUGAUUAAACAAGGGAAAAGGAAUAUCAAGAAAUAAAUACAAAUUAAAUAUCUAGUUACAUCCUCUUAGCAGAAAAAUCUUGAAAUUUGUGAAUUAUUUUACACCAGCCAAACAAAACCUUAAUCUCUUAUCCCCUGCAUUUUUUUUUCAUCUUCUACAUCUGCUCUUUGUCACCAUGGAACGUGUUAGCUUGACAUCUUCGAAAAGGAGGUCUUUUCCACCAAAAACGAAGCCAUGGCCUAUCCCACCUUCUUUAACACUUUUAUUGAAUAAAGUAAUAAAACGUAAUAAUUUUUUUUUUUAUGACUCUAAAUGUCCGGGCCAGCUUGCGCGCACCACAACUAAUCCUAGGGCCUACUGAACAUCCUGUAAACCCAGUAGGCAGGUAAGGCACCGCGGGGGUGACAGGCUGGUACUCUUGAAGUUCGAACCCAGGACGUUCGCAAAGACAAGCCUUGUAAUUGACCAAUGGGCUAGACCCUCAAGUGUAAUAAAAAACUAAAAUUAAUUGAAAGUCAAACUUAAAAAUAAAAACUAAAAUGAAAUUGAAUUGAAUUAAUUGAAAGUCAACAAAAAUUAUUGGUAUCAGCAUAUAUUACGCCAGAGGUUGCUCUUUGCUAUGGGUUAGAUCAAAAUCAAAUGAAUGCAUUGACAAAAAUGUGCUAUGGGUUAGAUAAAAAGAAAUGUCAACUUUUUAUUUUUUUUGCAUGUGAUAAAAUAUUUAAAACGUGGAUUAAAAACUUGACUAGUACAUCAAAUAAAGUUAAUUGACUAUCAUUUAUGUUAAUAAAAAAAUAAAAAUUUGAUGUCACUUAUUCAAUCUAACAUGCUAAGAGCGAAUUAAUCACCAUAUUUAAAUGGUGAUGUAGAGUGCGUUUGGUAUUGCGGUAGCUGUUAUGGUUGUGAUUUGAAAAAAAAUAUUUUAUAAAAAGUACUUUUAGUUAAGGUUGGUUUGAAAAAAUAGGUGUUUGGUUAAAACUGUGGUUGAAAUUGAGGUUAAAGAAAAAGUAGUUUAAUGUAUUUGGUUAAUAGUGUUUUUAAAAUUGAAAUUAUAAAAUAAUUUUAAAAAAUAUAUAUUAAUAUUGAUAUUUUUAAUUUAAAUAUUGUGGAUUUAACUAUUGCUAUUACAUCAUGAAAUAAAUCAUACUUAAUUUAAAUAUUUUUUAUUAUUCAAUGAAACCAUCUACAAUUCCAUCACGUACAAAAUAUAUCCGACAAGAACUACAGUUUCUAUAAUUUUUUUAGCGUGUAAUAAAAUUAGAUAAAAUAUUAUCAGGUAUAAAAUUCACUCUAGACUAAUUUUUUUAAAAAAAUUAACACACUAAAAAAAAAGAGAGAAAGUAGUUCAUGUAGUGCAAGUGAACAGUGCCAAUGUCCACUGUUCAUGUUAAUUGCAUUGUUCAUUGAUUGAACAAUGCAAUUAACAUGAACAGUGCAAAAAACGCAUGUGAAAGCAGCCUUUGGUUGCUUUUUCCAAUCCUGCGUUGCAAACACAGAAAAUAAUGGGGCUCAUUAACAGUAAUUAGUGGUUUUUUCUUUACCAAAUGCAAUUUUCACCACGUAAACAAACGGUCUUGUAGUUGGUAAAAACUUUAAUGUCAUUGUUAUUUUUAUUCGUACCUAAUACUAGCUCAAAUGUGAAAUACCAAAUUGUCAAAAGAUUAAAUCAUCAAAAAAUAUUAGGAGUGAAAUGAAAAAAUAAUGAUACAUUGUAUUGAUUCGUGCUAACUCGCGUAAUCAACAAUCAAGGUAAUGGUCACAAUCAUAAAUAAGUCAACCCACCUGGACAAUAAGCCUUUUUUUUUCUUUUUUUAUUCUCCUCUUAGUUGAGCCUAGAUUAGGUCUCAAACUUCGAUUUCAAUUAAAGAAUGGAGAUGAAGUUUAAAAAAUAAUUAAAUGUUGAAUAAUAAAAUUGAAAAGAAUUAGCUUAAAAAAAAUGCAAGCCCAAGCAAAUUUUUAUACCGGAGUUAAUCUUUUAAAUUCACAACCAGUGAAAUCCUAGACUCGAGUUGAAUUAAAAAUUUUAAUUCUCAAUCAAUUUAAUAUUGAAGGAUGAAAUUAUAAUAAAAAUAUUAAUUAAAACAAAUUGUCAAAGCAAAAGGGAUUACAACAAAAAGAAUAAGGAUCAAAUUGUAAAAAAAAAUAUGGAGGAUGAAAUUGUAAAAAAAUCUUUAAUUCUAAAAAUCAUCUAAAACAAAACAUAUAACAAUUAAAAUAAUGAGAAAAAAAUCUGACAGAUAAAAAAUGAAGUAUGAAAUUGAAAAAUAAAUAAAUGUGCAAUGAUAAAACUAAGAAAAUAUUAGCUUAAAAAGAGGAGGGGAAACAACGAAGUGAACUCGUGUGAAUAUCUUAAACCUAAAUUAAUUUCUUAAACUCGCACCUUGUAAAAUUUUAGAUGUGAGUUCAAUUAAGAAACUCAAUUCUCCGAUUGGAGAAUGAAAAAAAUUAAAAAUAAAUAAAUUACCAAAACAAAAAGGAAUUUCAAAAAAAAAAAAAAAGAUCAAGACACCUAGAAAAAAAAGGAUGAAAUUGUAAAAAAAAAUUCAACUCUAAAAAUUAUCUAAAAUAAUAUAAAUAACAAUCAAAAUGAAUAAGAACCAAAUUUGACAAAUAAAAAAAAUUAAAAGAUGACAAAACUAAAAAAAUUAAUUAUAUAAUUCAUUUUAAAAAAAAUAAUUAAAAUAAUAUAAAUGAAAUGUAAAAAAAUAAAUUGAAUAACUGAUUUAAAAUUAUAAAAUGCCACCCCGUAGAAACCAAGUUGGAGAGAGAGAAAUUAAAUAGGUGUUGCACUUAAUUUUGAUCCAACAAAUUGUUGGUUUGACCACCCAAUGCUUAGUGAUCCUUCUUUGGGAUUGUACUUAAUUUUGUACUAUUAGCUUAUUAGGUCUACAUUUACUCAUUUUUAAUUUUUUAGGGCUCCUGAGCUCCCAUUUCAAAAAAAAUAAAUUAAGAACUUUUUUUUUAUCAACUAAGAAAAUGCAUGUUAUGCAGAAAGAAAUAUUAAUUUAUUAGGCUAGUACAAAAUAUCUCUUUAUUUGAUAUUAUGAUAAGUAAUUGAGCUGUUUGGAAAUGUGGUUGCAAUUGUUUUUUAAAGUAUUUUUAUAUCAAAAUGCAUCAAAAUAAUGUUUUUUAUUUUUAAAUAUUUAUUUUUGAGAUCAGCGCAUUAAAAUAAUAAAAAAAAUAUACAAAAAAAUUAAUUUUUAUCAAAAAAAAUUAAAUUUUAGUGGAACGUGAUUUGCACCACAUUCUGAAACGUUAUUUUUGUUUAGUUAUUGAAUAUCGUGUAUUGUCAAUAAAAAAGAAAAGAACAUUGCACCAUGAUUUAUAAUAAAUGAUAAUCGUUUAUUUUCUUAAGAAAGUAACGGCAUACAAGAUCCAAAUAGAUUUCCUAAAAAAUGCAUGUUAUAUAGAAAGAAAUCUCCAUUGAUUAGGAAGUAAAGAGUAUAUUUUUUGUUUAGUUAUUGAAUAUCGUGUAUUGUCAAUAAAAAAAAAAAGAACAUUGCACCAUGAUUUAUAAUAAAUGAUAAUCGUUUAUUUUCUUAAGAAAGUAACGGCAUACAAGAUCCAAAUAGAUUUCCUAAAAAAUGCAUGUUAUAUAGAAAGAAAUCUCCAUUGAUUAGGAAGUAAAGAGUAUAUUUUUUAUUUGAUAUUAUGAGAAGUUUUUAUCUAAAUAUUGAAUAACACGUGUUGCCAAUAAAAAUAAAUAAAGAAUAUGACUCCAUAAUUUAUAAGAAGUAAAAAUUGUUUAUAUACGUUUUUUUUAGAGUAACUAUACAGGAUCCAAAUAGAUCAUUAAAAAAUGCAUGUCAUGUAGAAAGAAAUCUCCAUUGAUUAGGAGAGUAAAGAAUAUAUAUUCUGUAAUAAAGAAUAUUGCUCCAUAAUUUAUUAUUGAUUUUGUUUUUGUGGCAGUAUAUAAAUUACAGUCUCUUCCGUGAUCUCUACAACUCAAUUUGCUUUUUAAUUAUGGCACUAAUCCGUGAAAUAUUAUUUGUUCUUUUCCUCGGGUUGUUUCUGAGUGGCAUCACCGCUGCACAAAGGGAAGCAACGCUGCCCAUCACUCAAAAAGGGGCCGGUAUCUUCCCCACAAGAGCGAUAGUUCCACCGUCGGCGCCAGGCAAGCAGCAUAAUUCCGUUCCGAGGCUGCGUUCUAUUCCAGCAACAAAAGCAUAGUGGAUGUGUUAUGUGUGCGAAGACGAAUAAUUAGCAGACCCCCACUUUUAUAUGUGCGUUGAUUUCAUAAUUUCCUUUUGUUUUGAAUAAAGAAGUGCGGGUAUUGCAUAUUUUGUUAUUUGAUAUUAUGUUAAGUCUCUCUCUAAAUAUUAAAUAACAAGUAUUUUCAAUAAAUAAUAAAGAAUAUUACUCCAUAAUUUAUAGCAAACAAUAAUCGUUUGUUUAAUUUCAAGAAAGUACCUACAUGCAAGAUCCAAAUAGAGCAAUUAUAAAAUGCAUGUUAUCAAGAAAGAAACUAGUUUUGUAGCUCAUACUAUAUUUCAGUUUGUAUUAAAAAAUCUCUGAAGGUAAAACAAAAUGUUAAGAUUUCAAAAACUUAUUUGAUAUUAUUAUUAAAUUUGAGUAAACCUUAAAUUCUCUUUACUUACUCUUUGCUUAGCUCUAGAUUAAAAUUAAUUUUGAAAGAGUUACUCUAAUAUAACUUAGUAGACUUGAUUUGUCUAAUAACUAAGGUUUGAUUUAGAAAACAAUUUACCAAACCUACAACCCAUAUUUAAUCGAUCCAAGUUUCGUAAUUUAAUUUACCAAACCUGCAACCCAUAUCAUAGACUCAACUAGUUUUAACAAUUUUACUUUUUAAACUACUAUUUUUUUUAUUUAAAGAUAUGAUAAUGAAAAUAGACGCUUGUAUAAUUGAGCACCAACCAAAUACUGGAAUGUUUGUUUGAGACUAUGAUAAUCUAAAACAAAAAAACAAAUCAAAAUAAAUUAUAAAAACCAAUUUAGAGUUAAUCAAAUAUUGAAGAAUGAAAUUGAUAAAAACAAAAAUCAAAUAAUAUUCAAUUAAAAGAAGAAAAAAUGGAAGAUGAAAUUUAAAAACAAGAAAUUAUUUUGAAUUGUUAUUGAAAUGGACCAACUAGGUAACUUUGAAAUUUCCUAACCAGACUUCUUAUUUAGUUUGGGUUUAAAGGCUUAACUUGUAAAACCCAUGACUUGAAUCAUGGGCUUCAUUGGGUUUAAAAAGUUUAUUUUUUUUAUUUAAUGAUAUAAUAAUAAAAAAAAACACUUGUAAAAAUUGAAUUUUAAUCAAAUAUUAAUAUAUUUGUUUGAGACUACGAUAAUCUCAUAUAAAAAAAAAUUAAAACAAAUUAUAAUGACCAAUUCAAAUUUAUUAAAAUAUUAAAUGAUGAAAUUAGAAGAAAAAAAUUAGAAAGAUAAAAUAAAAAAAAAUUAUUUAAAAAAAUGAGGUGCUUUACCAUAACAGUAAAUAACCAUAAUGUUUCCCAAUUCUUUCAGUAGAGAGAGUAAUCUCCAAUAUUGGGUAGGAAAGUAAAGAAUAUUUUGUUAUUUGAAUAUAAGUCUUUGUUUAAAUAUUGAAUAACAAGUAUUGUUGAUAAAAUGUCUUAAAAAUAAAAAAUAUUAACCAGUAAGUUAACAAUUCAAGAAGAUAAUGUAGUGUUAAUUUUUUUAUAUCAUAAAAUUUUAAUCUGCUUGUGUUAUAGAGAUUUAAAAAUAUGUAAUGUAAACAACAAUAAUUGGUAUUAUUUUAUUUCAUGAGAUCUUGUAUUUAUGAAAAGAUAUUUUAAAUAUCUUAUCCUAUGUGUCAAUUUUUUAUUGACAAAAAAAAAUAUAAAUUUUUAUUUAUUUAAAUUUUAUUUUACAUUUUCAUGAAAAAAACAAAAUAAAAAAUUACAUAUAAAAAACAAGAUAAUGUAGUUACUUUAGGUUGUUUUUGUUUCCUGAAAAGUGGUUUCCAGAAAAUUAUUUUUUAACUUUUCCUGUGUUUGUUUGUCAUUAGAAAAGUUGGUCAAUGAAAAACACUUUUCGAUCAACAAAAAACACUUUCCAGUCAAAGAAAAAUUUAGCUUGGUUUUCAGGAAAGUGUUUUCCUUUUAUUUUGGGCGGAAAACACUUUUCGAAAGUUAUGAAAAUUUUAGAAAUAUCAUAUUAUUUGUUGAUUAUAUCAAAUUUUGUCCUCAAACUUUUGAUUGCUAUAUAUAUUUUGUUUUGAAUAUUGUUUUUUCAAUUUCAUCCUUUAGAAUUUAAUUUUUAUAUUAACUUUGGUCCUCAUUUUUAUAAUUGCUAUUUGAUUUUCCCUUAUCAUUUUUUAAUUAAAGUUUUUUAUCUAUCAAAUUUGAUUCUCAUUCUUUUGAUUGUUACUUAUUUUAUUUGAAAUAAUUUAUGAAAUGUUAAUUAUUAUGAUUUUAAUUUCUUCAUCUUUUUUUUUUUUUUAGAAUUGAUCUCUAUGAUUUUGAUUAUUAUUUAUUUUAUUUGAGAUAAUUUAUGAAAUUAUAUUUUUUUCUAUUUUAUUCUCAUUCAACUUUUGAAGUUGUAAGAUCUGAUCCUCGUUAUUUUAAUACAUUUGAGAAAAAUAAAAUAUUAAUAAGUUAUUUUUCAGCUUAUUUUUCAUGACAUAACCAAACACUGGAAAAUGUUUUCCAACUUAUUUUUCAUUACACUACCAAACAUCGAAAAAUACUUUCCUGAAAUUCACUUUCCAAAAGGAAACUACUUUCCAGCAAACAAACGAGGCCUUAAUAUAACUUAGUGGACUUGAUGGGUCUAAUAACUAAGGUUUGAUUUUAAAAACAAUUCAAGAUAACAUAUAUAUUGAGACGACGACAUAUUAGAUCAAUCAAAAUUUUGUAAUCUAAUUUACCAAACCCACAACCCAUUGGUCUUCAUAAUAUAAUUGAUUUGUUUGAGACUGUGAUAAACUAAAAAAAAGCAAAUCAAAACAAAUUAUGAAGAUCAAUUUAAAAUUAAUCAAAUAUUGAAGAAUAAAAUUGAUAAAACAAAAAAUCAAAUAGGAUUCAAUUAAAAGAAGAAAAAAAUGAAAGAUGAAAUUUAAAAACAAGAAAUUAUCUGGAAUUGUUAUUAAAAUGGACAAACUAGGUAACUUUGAAAUUUUAUAACCUGACUUCUUAUCUAGUUUGGAUUUAAAGGCUUAAUUCGUAAAACCCAUGACUUGAAUCUUGGGCUUCACUAGGUUUAAAAAGUUUAUUUUUUUUAUUUUUUUAUUUAAUGAUACGAUAAUAAAAAAAGACACUUGUAAAAAUUGAAUACUAAUCAAAUAUCAAGAUAUUUGUUUAAAAUUACGAUAACCUCAUAUAAAAAAAUUAAAAUAAAUUAUAAUGACCAAUUCAAAUUUAUUAAAAUAUUGACGGAUGAAAUUAGAAGAAAAAAAUUUGAAAGAUAGAAUUUAAAAAAAAGAAAAGAAAAAUUGUUUAGAAAAAUAAGGUGCUUUACCAGAACAGUAAAUAACAAUUUCCCAAUUCUUUCAAUAGAGAGAGUAAUCUCCAAUAUUGGGUAGGAAAGUAAAGAAUAUUUUGUUAUUUGAAUAAAAGUCUUUUUCUAAAUAUUGAAUUACAAGUAUUGUUGAUAAAAAAUAAAAAAUAUUAACCAGUAAGUUAACAAUUGAAGAAGAUAAUGUAGUGUUAAUUUUUUAAUAUCAUAAAAUUUCCUUAAUCUGCUUGUGUUAUAGAGAUUUAAAAAUAUGUAAUGUAAACUACAAUAAUUGAUAUUAUUUUAUUGGUUGAUCUUUAUUUUAUUUCAUGAGAUCUUGGAUUUAUGAAAAGAUAUUUUAAAUAUCUUAUCCUGCGUGUUAAUUUUUUAUUGUCAAAAAAUAUAUAAAUUUUUAUUUAUUUAUCAUAUUAUUUAUUUCAAUUUUAUUUUACAUUUUUAUGAAAAAUUACAUGUAAAAAAUAUUUGAUUGAUAAAUUUUUUAUAUUUCUACACUUGUGUUUACCGCCACCGUAGCUCCUAAUCUUCAUUGAAUUUGUUAGAUUUCAAUAUUGCUGAAAUAUAGCUAUCAUUGAAAAGAUGAGUAAUUAAGUCGAGAAAUGCUCUCUUAGGCUAGUCAAAGACAAUCCAAGGUAUAAUUUAGACCGUUUGAUUUUUUAAUUAAUUAUUUAUUUAUUUUCCCCAAAAAUCACUAUCUAGAUAAUUUAGACCGUUUGAUUUGAUAUCCUCCACCAGUAAAAUUCAAUCAUUCAAAGAAUUAGAAUGGGGGUGUUAGAGGUGUCUUUUGAAUAAUGAAGCAAGUGGUUUUGAAACGAUAACUAGAGUUUUGACCUCGUGUGAUGGUGAACUAAAAAGAAGUUGGAGUUUUUCUACAAUAGGGGCCAUUUUCAUGGUGGGAAAUUGAUGGCAUCCUUGAGGGCCAGGUGUUGUUUGUGGUUUUUGACCUAGUCAUUUUAGCCGGUGUCAAUAUCAAAACAAUUCAAGUUUUUGACUAAGGCAUUUGAGGCAAUUUUCUUUUCUAUUUUUAUGAAAUUCAAACUCUAAGCAAGCUGGUUUGAAUUUUAUAAUAGUGAUUUAUAGUAUAGUGUUUUAAGAAGAUGUAGAGUUUGUUUAGAAACCGUAUUCUCUUAAAUUUUAAUUUUUUAAAAAUUAAUUUAACUUAUAAUUUUAAAUCGUUUUAAUAUGUUGAUAAAAAAAAAUUAUUUUAAAACAAUAUAUAAAAGAUGAUGGAACCUUUUGUUUUUUGUUUUGUUUUUUGGUUUUUUAAAGGUUUGAAAGGCUUGACUGGCCAUGUAAAGAGCAGUUGAAUACGAGCAAAACUUUGUUCAUGAAUGCUCAUUUCCCUUGGCCGCCAGCUUGGAAGGGUUGUUGAAGCCUUGCCCCCGCCACACCACCACCCCCCCCCCCCCCCUAUUUAUUUUUUAUUAUUAUUAUCUUUUUGUUGUUUUUGGACAAUUUGGGAGAAGUCUUUUCCUCCUGCAAAUGAGAUUCAAGUAUUUAUUUUACAAGCAAAAAUCAAAAUGGUCACGUCAUUGAGGCAUCGAUCAUUAUUCUCAACCGAACAAGAUUGACUUUUACAAUCUUAGAAUUCAAGCAAUUUAAAUUUAUAAUAUCAAUAUUGUUUAAAACUAAGUAUCAAAAGGAACUGUUAUUAAUUAAAUUUCUCGAUGAAUUUGGAAUUAUUUCCUUUACUCGUAUUAGAUCAUAUUUUAUAGUAAUCGAAUAUCAAAUUAAUUAUAAUAUAAUACUUUUAAUCUUAAUUAGUUGUCUAAAUUAAAAUCUAGUGAAAAGUAUUAUUAAAAGGUUAAGUUUGUUAAGUAUCUUUUAAUUUUUCAAAUAUAGCAAAUGGUGUGUGUGUGUGUAAAAAUAUAAAUUGGGUAUUGUAUAACAUUUUAAACAAAAAACCCACAUGUAUGAUAAAAAGUAUAAAUGUAUUUAUGAAGAAGAAAAUAUGAAUCAAAUAUAACAUAUAGUAUAAAAGUAUAAUUACGUUAUAGAUUUUUAGGAAUAUAAUUCAGAUUUAACUUGUUGGUAUCAAGUUUUUUUUUUUAAAUCAAAUUCCUUAUUACCAUCUAACCUAUCUUUUGGAUUCAAACAAAUCAUAAUAAAACUUUAAUAAAUAUUUGAUUUGCAAUGUCGUAGCAUAGCAUAGUAUGAGAAUUUUAUAUUAUUUGUUUUUAUACAUAGCAAAAGUUUUUUUUAUAAAUAAUUAUGUUAUAUAAUGUUAUCAAACUCAUAUUGAUUGGCUUAGUAAGUUAAUUUGGUGAUUUGUUAUUUUAAUUUUUAAUUUAAAUUAAUUUUUUAAAUUAAAUCGACUAAGAAUUAAUUUAAUUGACAUGACAGAUGAACUCAUCACGUUUAGAACAUGGUUUAUAUUUUUCUUUAAAAAAAAUAUAAACAAUAUUUUAUCUAUCGGCAUCUCUGAUUCGGCACUAACUAAUAAUACAAAUGACCGAGACUAGCAGGACCAAGUGCGGACAGCAACCUUCUCUCAAUUUGUAUAUUGUCUUUCUUGCUAGCUUGUCGGCUUUAUAGCACUAGCAUUGAUUAAUAAUAUAUCCUUGAUUUAAAAAAAAAAAAAAACUUAUGCCCACCUGCACGUUUAAUUGGAUGAAAGUUUUCAAUUUCAAUAAUCAAGAUUUCGUUUAAUUUUAGGAGGAAAAAACAAUAUUGGUCCCAUUGUGGACUUAGUGGUUUGGUAUUUGAUUUUUUUUUUAUUCCAAGUUGGUGAAUGUCUACACGUAACUAAUUAUGAUAUAAUUCUAGGAGAUUUUUUUAUAAUUAUUUUUAAAAUUUAUUUUUAACUCAAUAAAAGAGCUUAUUUAAAUAUAGUCUUCUCAAGAGAUAAACUGUUAUAAAACUGACAUGCAAACUUUAUAAAAUAAAAAGUAAGAGAUAUAAUAAAAUAAAAAAUGACACGUAAGAAUUUAAUUUUUUUACCCAAUUAAACUAUAUCCAUGAAUAAAUAUAAAAGAAUUUUACUAAUUAAUAUAAAAAUUACAACAUCUUUGUUAAUAGAAGAACAAUUAAAAUUUCUCAAUUGCUAAAAAAAAAAAACAUAUCAUUUACUCUAUUACAAAUACCUUAUAAUUUUAAGAGAUUAUUUUUCCUUUCUUGCUUUUCUCUCUCUCUCUCUCUCAUGUUGUGUUUAAGACUCGGAUGUAUUAUUUAUUUAUAAACAAGCGGCAAAUAGCAAGUGGCACCAAUUGGUGUUGCUGCACCGAGUUAGACGACAAUGCCUACCUGGCUUCACACAAGCACUAUUAUUAAACCCGGUCCGGCAGGUCAACUCGGGACCCAGUCGACCCGGUGGCUGGAAUGAUCCGGUUUAAUAAAAGACCGGCUGUGGCAACAACCCGGUCAAACCCAGGUGACAUAGUAUAAAAAAAUCAUGUUUUUUCAAUGUAGGAUAAAAAAUCCUAUUGGUUUAAAUACUUCAACUUAAAAUGAUAACAUAGUAUCUUUUCAAUGUGGGAUUUGAAGCACUUUCAUAUAUAUACUAUGUGUUUCCAUGAAAAAAGUUAUGUUUUUUCAAUGUGGGAUUUGAAACCCAUUAGUAUUAUACUCUGUGUUCCCAAGAAAAAAAAUCAUGUUUUUUCAAUGUGGGAUAAAAAACCUUUUAGUUUAUAUACUUCAACUUAAAAGAAUAACAUAAUAUCUUUUCAAUGUGGGAUUUAAAGCCCUUUCAUAUAUAUACUCUAUGUUUCCAUGAAAAAAAUCAUGUUUUUUCAAUGUGGGAUAAAAAACUUUUUAGUUUAAAUACUUCAACUUAAAAGGAUAACAUAGUAUCUUUUCAAUGUGGGAUUUAAAGCCCUUUCAUAAAUAUACUCUAUGUUUCCAUGAAAAAAGUUAUGUUUUUUCAAUAUGGGAUUUGAAAUCUAUUUGUAUAUAUACUUUAUGUUCUCAACAAAAAAAUCAAGUUUUUUCAAUAUGGGAUAAAAAACCUUUUAAUUUAAAUACUUUAACUUAAAAAGAUAACAUAAUAUCUUUUCAAUGUGGGAUUUAAAGCCCUUUUGUAUAUAUACUCUAUGUUCCAAGAAAAAAGUUAUGUUUUUUCAAUGUGGGAAAAAUUUUUGAAAUAUUUUUUUAAACUUCAUUAUUUAUAAUAUGUAUAAUCUAUAUUUACAUGGAUUUUUUCUUAUGAAAUAUUAAAAGUUUAAUUUUUUAAUUUUCCUGAGUUAACCCGGGUUGACCCAUGAAACCCUGGACCCGGUUCCUUGACCGGGUUUAAUAACUAUGCACACAAGUCUCUAUAUAUACUGCUACCUCGAUGUGCUCAAUCUACUCAGAAAAUAUGGAUCAAAGAUUUUUGCAAAGAUUGUUCAGUCUUGUAUCCUCAGCUGAAAUUCUAUUUCUACUUCUUUUACCUCUAACAUUUAUCAUCCUCAAGAACAUUAUAAGGUCAUGUUCUAAAAGCAAGUAUCUUCCACCUGGUCCAAAGCCAUGGCCCAUCAUAGGCAACCUUCUUCAUAUGGGGAAUCAGCCUCAUGUAUCCUUGGCAGAAAUUGCAAAAAUCCACGGCCCCCUCAUCUCACUAAGGCUAGGAACUCAACUCCUUGUUGUUGGUUCUUCAGCAAAGGCAGCAACUGAGAUUCUCAAAACUCACGAUCGAUUCCUCUCUGCUCGACACGUACCUCAAGUGAUUCCUCGGGAAAGCCAUGUCCUUCGCCGGGUUGCGCUCGUCUGGUGCCCUGAAAGCAUUGAUACAUGGAAAUUGCUACGAGGAUUGUGUAGGACUGAGUUAUUUUCAGCCAAAGCAAUAGAGUCAAAUGCGACUUUGAGAGAGAAGAAAGUUGGGGAGUUGAUGGAUUUUUUGGUAGCAAGAGAAGGAAAAGUUGUUAGCAUUGGAGAAGUAGUGUUUAGUACUGUAUUCAACACAAUAUCGAAUCUUUUAUUCUCCAAUGAUCUUGCUGGUUUGGAAGAGAACGGGAUGUCAAGUGGAUUGAAGAGCCAUGUUCGGAAGCUGAUGCUGUUGAUUGCUGCUCCAAACAUAGCUGAUUUUUAUCCUAUAUUUGCAGGGUUGGAUCCUCAAGGUUUAAGAAGGAAAUUAUCCAAGCUUGUUGAAGAAACUUUUGCUACAUGGGCAAUCAACAUCAAGGAAAGAAGAAAUAGCUAUGUCCAAGAUUCUCCUAAAAGAGAUUUCUUGGAUGUUUUUCUUGCAAAUGGGUUUGACGACGAUCAAAUCAAUUGGUUAGCCUCAGUAUGAACAAACAAAAUACCUUUUGCUUUUAUUCCCAUGUAUUAAUUUGGUUUGAAUCCGAUGGAAUCUUGACAGUAUGUAAUUUCUGUUGGUUUUCUUUGCAGGAAUUGUUCAGCGCAGGCACAGACACUGCUGCCACAACAAUAGAGUGGGCAGUGGCCGAGAUACUGAAGAACAAAGAAGUUCUGGAAAAAGUUGAAGAAGAGCUCGAAAGAGAAACCACAAAGAAUACAAUUUCUGAAUCUGAUGUCUCUCAGCUUCCAUAUCUAAAUGCAUGUAUAAAGGAAACCUUGAGGUUACACCCUCCUGUGCCAUUGCUUGUUCCACAUCGCGCUACCGAGACCUGUGAGGUUAUGAAGUACACAGUUCCGAAGGAUUCUCAAGUUCUUGUGAAUGUUUGGGCAAUCAGCCGUGAUCCGUCGACCUGGGAAGACCCAUUAUCAUUUAAACCUGACAGGUUUCUUGGCUCAAAUGUGGACUUCAAAGGUGGCAACUACGAGUUUCUCCCAUUCGGUGCUGGAAGAAGAAUCUGCCCUGGAUUACCCAUGGCCAAUAAACUUAUCCCCUUGAUUUUAGCCUCUUUGAUCCGUUGUUUUGACUGGUCACUUCCCAAUGGUGAGGAUCUUGCAAGGUUAGACAUGAAGGAUAAGUUUGGUGUUGUUUUGCAGAAGGAGCAACCUCUACUUCUUGUUCCCAAAAGAAGAUUGUAAUUUCAGACUGGUUAUUGUCUACGUGCUGCUCUAAUAUGUUUAUCUACACAAAAUAAAAAGCUGUAAGCUUCAAUGUCUCCGUUUAUUUGCUGGAAAGUAUUUUGUUUUUGAAAAGUAAAUUCCAGAAAAAGUAUUUUUCGAUAUUUGGUAGUGUAAUGAAAAAUAAGUUGGAAAACACUUUCCAGUGUUUGGUUAUGUCAUUGAAAAUGAACUGAAAAAAAACUUAUUAAUAUUUUAUUUCUCUCAAGUUUAUUAAAAUAAUAAGGAGCAAAUCUUACAAAUUAAAAAGUUGAAUGAGAAUGAAAUUGAAAAAAAAUAUAUAAUUUCAUAAAUUAUCUCAAAUAAAAUAAAUAAUAAUCAAAAUAAUAGAGAUCAAAUCUAAAAAAUUAAAAAAAAAUGAAAGAUGAAGAAAUUAAAAUAAUAAUAAUCAACAUUUUAUAAAUUAUUUCAAAUAAAAUAAGUAACAAUCAAAAGAAUGAGGAUCAAAUUUGAUAGAUAAAAAAUUUCAAUAAAAAUAUGAUAAGGAAAAAGCAAAUAGCAAUUAUAAAAAUAAGGACCAAAGUUAAUAUAAAAAUAAAAUUUUAAGAGAUGAAAUUGAAAAAUAAAUAUUCAAAACCAAAUAUAUAUAGCAAUCAAAAGUUUGAGGAUUAAAUUUGAUGUAAUCAGCAAAUAAUGACAUUUCUAAAUUUUUCACAACUUCCGGAAAGUGUUUUCUCCCCAAAUUUUUCAGGAAAACACUUUCCUGAAAACCAAGCCAAAUUUUCCUUUUACUGGAAAGUGUUUUCUAUUGACCAACUUUCCUACUGGCAAACAAACACAAGAAAGUUUGGAAAGUGAUUUCCCGGAAACCACUUUCCGGAAAACAAACACAGCUAAAAGGAAAAUAUUUUCCUGAAAACCAAGUCAAAUUUUUUUUUGACUGGAAAAUAUUUUUCGUUGACCGGAAAGUGUUUUCCGUUAACUAUAAAGUAUUUUCGUUGAUCAACUUUUCUAAUGACAAAAAAAUUUGUUUUCAGACAAAAAAACAUGGUCUAAAACUCGAUUUUGAUUUUGAAUGCUAGCGGGUGUUGUUUUUUUAUCUUGCUUUAAGAAAAAUGAAGGACUCAAAUCCCCAAACCAAUUUGUCCAGAUUUUCAUAAAUAUCAAGUCCUAUCUAGCAAUCAGCAGCCAUUCUAGGCUUAUCUUAGCCAAGGACCAAGAGCCCAGCCAAGUGGGCAGUGCAUUUAAUGUUAAUAUAAAAAAUAAAAAAUAAAAACAUAUAAGAAAAUUUAUUUUGAUUAUUUUUAAUUAAAAAACAUUACUAUUUUGUGUAAAAAUAUAAUCAUGGCAUAUAGGAUUAUAAUUAUGAUUAAUCUUUUAUCUAUUAGGACUAAAACAUGUUCUCUGUAAAUAUGUGCUUAAGCUUAGUUCCUUUUAAGGAUGAUCUUGUAUGCUCGUGUUAAAAAAAAAAAUUAGCAAGAGAGAGAUUUAUAUUAUGUUGUGAGGAUUUAAUGUAUUUGGGAUUCAAGUUUAAAAUUAGUUUUUUAAAACUUGUACAAAUUAUGAUUAUAGUAAAUUUUUUUUUAUUAUUAACGUGGGUAUCCGGGUCAAUUUGUGCGCCUCUCGAUUAAUCCCACGGGCCCUAAAAUUAACGAUCAUAUAAGUUUUCAGUGAUCUUGAGAUUUGUGAGACUCAAAUUGAUGAUCUCUAUAAAGCAAAUUUAAAAUCUAAACAGUUGAGCUACACCUUUAGGGUUACUAAAUUUUUUUUUUUUGUUUAUUUUUAGAUGUUGGCAUGGACUAAUAAUGUAAAAUCAGUGUGUAAUUUAUUUACUUAUUUUUUCCAUAUGCUCUAUGUCUAUGGGUGCCAGUUUUAACAAAUACCCUUACAAUUUUUCCUCCAUGCCAAACAUAUCAUAGAGAGUGAAUACAUUGUAAUUGGGUCGGGUCUCCGAAAAUAUGGGUCGCAAAAGGCACAAAAAUAAUUCAUAAGCCCAAGAACCUCUUUAUAUGGGCUCAUUGUUUGUAACAAUAGGACAGACUAAGAUACUUAUGGGCUGAGCUUUGGUAAUCCCAAGAACUUCAAAGUCAGCCCACAUGUAAGCUUACAUGGCCAACUUCCAAUUUCCAAACAUGGCCUGGCAUCCGAUUUGUUUUAUAUAUUUUCUAGUGCAAUUUUAAAUGUGAACAAAUAAUAAUUCAAGUUGCAAGAAAUUCAUUGAUAUUAUUCUUAAACCCAGUUUAGUGAGUUAAAUUUAAAAAAUCUUGACUUGAAGCCAUGUUAAUUCUGGAUUUUUAAUUAAAUUAAGUGAGAGUUAUAUCGAUUUCAAUCAAUUAAUUUUAUUGGUUGAAGAAAUGAAAAAAAAAUCAAAAGAAAAAAUUGACAUAAAAAAAAUUUAGAUGUAUAGGUUUAAAGGAAAGCUAAACUAUUGUUAAAAAUGAUUUGAUUUUUAAAAAACUUAAAGCUAAUAAUUUUUAGUUAUGGCACUAACCCGUGAAAUAUUAUAUGUUCUUUUCCUUGGGUUGUUUCUGAGUGGCAUCACCGCUGCACAAAGGGAAGCAACGCUGCCCAUCACUCAAAAAGGGGCCGGUAUCUUCCCCACAAGAGCGAUAGUUCCACCGUCGGCGCCCGGCAAGCAGCAUAAUUCCGUUCCGAGGUGCUCUUUGCUAUGGAUUAGAUCAAAAUCAAAUGAAUGCAUUGAAAAAAAUGUGCUAUUUUUUUUCAUGUGAUAAAAUAUUAAAAAUGUGGAUUAAAAACUUGAAUAGUAUAUCAAAUAAAGGUAGUUGACUAUCAUAUAUGUUAAUAAAAAAAAUGAUGUGGCUUAUCUGAUCUAACAUGUUAAGAGCGAACUAAUCACCAUAUUUAAAUGGUGAUGUAGUUGGUUAAAACUUAAUGUCAUUGUUAUUUUCACCUGUACCUAACAUUAGCUCAAAUGUGAAAUAACGGAUUGUCAAAAGAUUAAAUCAUCAAAAAAUAUUAGGAGUGAAAUAAAAAAAUAAUGACACAUUGUAUUGACUCGUGCUAACCUGCGUAAUCAACAACCAGGGUAAUGGUCACAAUCAUAAUAAGUCAACCUAUCUGGACAAUAAAGCCUUUUCUUUAUUCUUCCCUUAUUCUCCUCGUAGUUGAGCCUAGAUUGGGUCUCAAACUUCGAUUUCAAUUAAAUAAUGGAGAUGAAGUUUAAAAAAUAAUUAAAUAUUGAAUAAUAAAACUGAAAAGAAUUAGCUUAAAAAAAACACAAGCCUAAGCGAAUCUUUUAUACCGGAGUUAAUCUUUUAAAUUCACAAUCAAUAAAAUCCUAAACUCGAGUUCAAUUAAUAAUUUUAAUUCUCAACCAAUUUAAUGUUGAAGGAUGAAAUUAUAAUAAAAAUAUUGAUUAAAACAAAUUUUCAAAGCAAAAGGGAUUACAACAAAAAAAUAAGGAUCAAAUCACAUAGAAAAAAAUUUGGAGGAUGAAAUUGUAAAAUAUAUUUAAUUCUAAAAAUCAUCUAAAACAAAACAAAUAGCAAUUAAAAUAACGAGGAUAAAAUCUGACAGAUAAAAAAUGAAGGAUGAAAUUGAAAAAUAAAUAAAUAUGCAAUGAUGAAACUAAAAAAAUAUUAGCUUAAAAAGAGAAAGAAAAAAAACAAAGUAAACUCGUGUGAAUCUCUUAAACCUUGAUUAAUUUCUCAAACUUGCACCUUGUAAAAUUUUAGAUAUAAGUUUAAUCAAGAAACUCAAUUCUCCGAUUGAAGAAUAAAAAAAAUUAUAAAUAAAUAAAUUACCAAAACAAAAGGGAAUUGGGAAAAAAAGAAAGAAAAGGAUCAAGACAUCUAGAAAAAAAAGGAUGAAAUCGUUAAAAAAACUUCAAUUCUAAAAAUUAUUUAAAAUAAUAUAAAUAAUAAUCAAAUGAAUAAGAAUCAAAUCUAACAAAUAAAAAAUUAAAAGAUAACAACUUAAAAACAAAUUCUAUAAAUCAUUUUAAAAAAAUAAUUAAAAUAAUAUGAAUGAAAUAUAAAAAUAAAUAAAUUAAAUAACUGAUUUAAAAUUAUAAAAUGCCACCUGUAGAAACCAAGUUGGAGAGAGAAAAAUUAGUUAGGUGUUGCCCUUAAUUUUGAUCCAACAAAUUGUUGGUUUGACCACCCAGUGCUUAGUGAUCCUUCUGUGGGAUUGUACUUAAUUUUGUACUUUUAGCUUAUUAGGUCUACAUUUACUCAUAUAAUUUAAUUUUUUAGGGUUCCUAAGCCCCGAUUUCAAAAAAAAUAAAAUUAAGAACCUUUUUUUUUAUCAACUAAGAAAAUGCAUGUUAUGUAGAAAGAAAUAUUAAUUGAUUAGGGUAGUACAAAAUAUCUUUUUAUUUGUUAUUAUGAUAAGUAAUUGGCAUGUUUGAGAAUCUGGUUAUAGUUGCUUUUUAAAGUGUUUUAUAUGUCAAAAUGUAUUAAAAAAAUAUUUUUAAGAUUAGAGCAUUGAAACGAUCCAAAACAUACCAAAAAAAUUAAUUUUUAACAAAAAUAAAUUUAAAUUUUAGUAAAAUAUGAUUUGCAUCACGUUUCCAAAUAUCUUCUUCCUAAAUAUUUUCUUUGCCUAGUUAUUGAAUAUCGUGUAUUGUCAAUAAAAAAGAAAAGAACAUUGCACCAUGAUUUAUAAUAAAUGAUAAUCGUUUAUUUUCUUAAGAAAGUAACGGCAUACAAGAUCCAAAUAGAUUUCCUAAAAAAUGCAUGUUAUAUAGAAAGAAAUCUCCAUUGAUUAGGAAGUAAAGAGUAUAUUUUUUAUUUGAUAUUAUGAGAAGUUUUUAUCUAAAUAUUGAAUAGCACGUGUUGCCAAUAAAAAAUAAAUAAAGAAUAUGACUCCAUAAUUUAUAAGAAGUAAAAAUUGUUUAUAUACGUUUUUUUGAGAGUAACUAUACAGGAUCCAAAUAGAUCAUUAAAAAAUGCAUGUCAUGUAAAAAGAAAUCUCCAUUGAUUAGGAGAGUAAAGAAUAUAUAUUCUGUAAUAAAGAAUAUUGCUCCAUAAUUUAUUAUUGAUUUUGUUUUUGUGGCAGUAUAUAAAUUACAGUCUCUUCCGUGAUCUCUACAACUCAAUUUGCUUUUUAGUUAUGGCACUAAUCCGUGAAUUAUAUUGUUCUUUUCCUCGGGUUGUUUCUGAGUGGCAUCACCGCUGCACAAAGGGAAGCAACGCUGCCCAUCAAUCAAAAAGGGGCCGGUUUCUUCCCCACAAGAGCGAUAGUUCCACCGUCGGCGCCCGGCAAGCAGCAUAAUUCCGUUCCGAGGCUGCGUUCUAUUCCAGCAACAAGCAUAGUGGAUGUGUUAUGUGUGCGAAGACGAAUAAUUAGCAGACCCCCACUUUUAUAUGUGCGUUGAUUUCAUAAUUUCCUUUUGUUUUGAAUAAAGAAGUGCGGGUAUUGCAUAUUUUGUUAUUUGAUAUUAUGUUAAGUCUCUGUCUAAAUAUUAAAUAACAAGUAUUUUCAAUAAAUAAUAAGAAUAUUACUCCAUAAUUUAUAGCAAACAAUAAUCGUUUGUUUAAUUUCAAGAAAGUACCUACAUGCAAGAUCCAAAUAGAGCAAUUAUAAAAUGCAUGUUAUAAAGAAAGAAACUAGUUUUGUAGCUCAUACUAUAUUUCGGUUUGUAUUAAAAAAUCUCUGAAGGUAAAACAAAAUGUUAAGAUUUUAAAAAAUUAUUCGAUAUUAUUAUUAAAUUUGAGUAAACCUUAAAUUCUUUUGACUUACUCUUUGCUUAGCUCUAGAUUAAAAUUAAUUUUGAAAGAGGUACUCUAAUAUAACUCAGUAGACUUGAUUGGUCUAAUAACUAAGGUUUGAUUUAAAAAACAAUUUACCAAACCUACAACCCAUAUUAAAUCGAUCCAAGUUUCGUAACUUAAUUUACCAAACCUACAAUCCAUAUCAUAGACUCAACUAGUUUUAACAACUUUACUUUUUAAAUUAUUUUUUAUUUAAAGAUAUGAUAAUGAAAAUAGACGCUUAUAUAAUUGAGCACCAACCAAAUACUGGAAUGUUUAUUUGAGACUGUGAUAACCUAAAAAACAAAAACAAAUCAAAACAAAUUAUGAAGACCAAUUUAGAGUUAAUCAAAUAUUGAAGAAUGAAAUUGAUAAAAAAAAAUCAAAUAAAAUUCAAUUAAAAUAAGAAAAAAUGGAAGAUGAAAUUUAAAAACAAGAAAUUAUUUUGAAUUGUUAUUGAAAUGGACCAACUAGGUAACUUUGAAAUUUCCUAACCAGACUUCUUAUUUAGUUUGGGUUUAAAGGCUUAACUUGUAAAACCCAUGACUUGAAUCAUGGGCUUCAUUGGGUUUAAAAAGUUUAUUUUUUUUUAUUUAAUGAUAUGACAAUAAAAAAAACACUUGUAAAAAUUGAAUUUUAAUCAAAUAUUAAUAUAUUUGUUUGAGACUACGAUAAUCUCAUAUAAAAAAAUUAAAACAAAUUAUAAUGACCAAUUCAAAUUUAUUAAAAUAUUAAAUGAUGAAAUUAGAAGAAAAAAAUUAGAAAGAUAAAAUUAAAAAAAAAAAUAUUUAAAAAAAUGAGGUGCUUUACCAGAACAGUAAAUAACCAUAACGUUUCCCAAUUCUUUCAGUAGAGAGAGUAAUCUCCAAUAUUGGGUAGGAAAGUAAAGAAUAUUUUGUUAUUUGAAUAUAAGUCUUUGUUUAAAUAUUGAAUAACAAGUAUUGUUGAUAAAAUGUUUUAAAAAUAAAAAAUAUUAACCAGUAAGUUAACAAUUCAAGAAGAUAAUGUAGUGUUAAUUUUUUUAUAUCAUAAAAUUUUAAUCUGCUUGUGUUAUAGAGAUUUAAAAAUAUGUAAUGUAAACAACAAUAAUUGGUAUUAUUUUAUUUCAUGAGAUCUUGUAUUUAUGAAAAGAUAUUUUAAAUAUUUUAUUCUAUGUGUCAAAUUUUUAUUGACAAAAAAAAAUAUAAAUUUUUAUUUAUUUAAAUUUUAUUUUACAUUUUCAUGAAAAAAACAAAAUAAAAAAUUACAUAUAAAAAAAAUUUGAUUUAUAAAUUUUUUUAUAUUUCUACACUUGUGUUUACCGCCACCUGUAGCUCGUAAUCUUCGUUCUCUAGAAUGGGGUGUCAGAGGUUUCUUGUUAAUGAUGAAGCAAGUGGUUUUGAAAGGAUAACUAGAGUUUUGACCUCAUGCGAUGGUGAACUAAGGAGAAGUUGGAGUUUUUCUACAAUGGGUAGCCAUUGAAAGAAUUAAAAUAAAGUGAAAGCUGACACAGGAUGAAGAAAAUUAUAUUCACUGCAUUACAUUGUUACUUACAGUGUAAGUGUAUAUAUAUAUAUGCGUACAAUCUUAAAGAUAAGAUAAGUGAAAGAAUUUGAAAUUUAAAACUAUAGCAGUAUUUGAAUUUGAAACUAUAACAGAUUAUCUUCAUUCAUCUUCUUCUGAUCUUCCUCUGAUCUUUCUCCCAUGCUUGAAUCUGCUCCUGAUUUUGUUGAGAUUGUUAUGCUAUUUAAUACUCUAACACCCUCCCUCAAACUGUGGGGAAGAAGACAGACACAUAGUUUGUCUCUGAGAAAAAAAAACCGGUUUGCAGUAUGGCUCUUUGUAAAGACAUCAGCAAUUUGAUCUUGUGUGGAGGUAUGCAGAAUUUGAACAUCAUGAUUAACCACCUUUUCUCUGACGAAAUGGUAGUCAAUUUCAAUGUGUUUGGUGUGUGAAUGAAAGACAGGAUUAGAAGCUAAUGCAAUAGCACUGACAUUGUCACACCAUAAGCUUGGAGCAGCAGACAACGUGAUAUGCAAUUCUUGAAGAAGCAUGCGAAGCCAGUACAAUUCAGCUGUUGUAUGAGCCAUGCUUCUAUAUUCAGCCUCUGUGCUAGAUCGAGAGACAACACUCUGCUUUUUGCUGGACCAAGAUAUGAGAUUAGAGCCAAGAAACACACCAUAACCAGUGGUGCUCCGCCUGUCAUCAGGAUUGCCUGCCCAAUCAGAGUCACAGUAGGCAUGCAUUGUGAUUGUUCCUGGAGUGUAAAGAAGACCAAACUCGACAGUACCUUUAAGAUAGCGUAAGACACGCUUAACAGCUAUCCAGUGAAGUGCACAUGGAGAGUGCAUAAACUGACAUAACUGGUUUACUGAGUAGGAAAUAUCUGGUCUUGUGAUUGUGCAGUAUUGAAGAGCCCCUACAACUCGUCGAUAUUCAGUUGGAUUCUCUAACGGUUCACCAGCAGUAGAUGAGAGUUUUGAGCCAGAAGAUGAUGGACAACGAAGAGGCCUUGCACCAAGCAUAUAGGUACUGUUGAGCAGAUCAGUUAUAUACUUUGUCUGUCGCAAAUGUAAACCAGCUUGGUUUCUAAUGGCUUCAACAACAAGAAAGAAGCUUAAUUCCCCCAAGUCUUUAAUUGGAAACACUGUCUGUAGUUGAUCAAUAAAAGAAUGAAUUGCUUGAUUGUCAGAUCCUGUGAUUAUUAUAUCAUCAACAUAUACUAACACAAACAUACGUAAAGUGUCAGAAUUAUAUGUAAACAAUGAAUAAUCCAUCUUGGAUUCUGAAAAACCAAAGUCAAUCAGCUGCUGUGAGAGGCGUUUAAACCAAGCUCGAGGAGCUUGUUUGAGACCAUAAAUAGACUUGUGUAGAUAGCAUACAUGAUCAGGAAAGAUGUGAUCUUCAUAACCUUUCGGUUGUUCCAUGUAUACUACUUCAUCGAGAAUACCAUGCAGAAAGGCAUUGGAAACAUCCAACUGCCGAAUAUUCCAUUUGAAUGAGACUGCAAGAGAAAGGAUUAAUCUGAUGGUAGUUGGUUUUACUACUGGUGAAAAAGUAUCAAAGUAAUCAAUACCAGGAAUUUGUUCAAACCCUUUGGCUACAAGCCUCGCUUUGUAGCGAUCAAUACUGCCAUCAGGAUGUCUCUUUAGCUUAUACACCCAUUUAUUUCUGACAACAUGUGUAUGUGAAGGUCUAGGACAGAGAGACCAUGUGUUAUUUGCUAGUAGCGCAUCAAAUUCACGUCCCAUUGCUGCUUUCCAAUGUGGAUUGGAUACUGCCUUUGUGAAACAAGUAGGUUCAGAUUCAAUGACUAUACUGGAGAAAACUUUUAGAGGAUGUCGGGUAGAAUAAAAAGUUUUAAAACCAGGGAACUCUUUAGGUUUAAGACUACCCGUUUGAGAUCGAGUAACCAUUUGUCUAGGCAGUACAGAAGACAAUGCAGGAGAAGAAAUAGGAUCAGGUAAGGACACAGGAUCUGUGGGAGAAGGCAGUAUAGGAGAUAUUGGGGAAGACAUGACAGGGGAUGCAGCAGGACAUAAACUAGAAUCAGAUAAUGACACAUGAUCGGUGGAAGAAGGAGUAGGAAUUGAAGGUGCAAUUGUGGAAUGUUGUAAGGAUAGACCUUCAGUGGAAGAAGGACUUUCGGUUGCAAAAGAAAUUGAAACAGGUGGAGUAAAAUUGAAAUGCUGAGCAUGAGAAAUUAAAGGAACUAAAUUGGAAGGAAGAGUAGUACCUGAAGACUGGUUGCUCGCAGGAGUGGCAGAAGAAUGACUUUUAUCCAAGUGAGGGAAAGUGUUUUCAUCAAAAACAACAUGCCUGGAAAUAAACACCCUGCCUGUAGCAAAAUCUAAACACCGAUAACCUUUUUGUUGAUUUGAAUAUCCUAAGAAAAUACAUUGUUUGCUUCUAAAAGCUAACUUAUGUUUUUCAUAUGGUCUGAGAUAAGGAUAACAUGCACAACCAAAUAAUGCGCAGGUCAGAGUAGCGAGGCAUAGUUUUAUGGAGAACAAAGUAAGGUGUGAUAUUAUUAAGGACUUUCGUUGGUAAACGAUUAAUCAGGUAUACUGAAGUAAAAAAGGCAUCUACCCAAUAACAGUUUGGAAGACAAGCUUGGGCUAAGAGGGUUAAUCCCAUUUCUUGAAUAUGGCGAUGUUUACGUUCAGCAAUUCCAUUUUGUGGGGAUGUAUAGGGACAUGUCAAGCGAUGAAAUAUUCCAUGUUUAGCCAAAAAAUUCUGAAACUCUGUUGAUAAGUAUUCUCCACCAUUAUCAGAUUGUAGUUGUUGAAUUGUGCAGGAGAAUAGAUUUUCAACAAGAUCUUUAUAGAUUUGAAAUAUGGAAAAAACAUCACUUUUGAACCGCAUAGGAUACAUCCAUGUAAAGCGACUAAAAUCAUCAAUGAAUAGAACAUAAUAUCGACAUCCCCCUACUGAAGUAACAGGAGAUACCCAGACAUCAGUGUGAAUCAAGGCUAGAGGUCUGGCCGAUUGUCUUUGAGAAUCACUAAAAGGUAGCUUUUUAGAUUUCCCUAACUGGCAGGGAGAACAAAUACUUGAUUUGCUAGGUGACUCUUUUAUUGGUAGGAAAGAAGAUAAAUAGUUUAAAGUUGAGUCGGAAGGAUGACCAAGGCGUUUAUGCCAUUGAUCUCUAGUGGUUGUGGUCCCUAAGUUAGAGGUAAAGCAACGAAAUUGCUUGGUGCAAUUCUUAUUCCCAGUGAUUGGAUAAAGGCCAUUCUCAACCAGCCCUUGGAGCAGCAGUCGGCUGGUCUUGUUUUCCUUGAUAAAAAAAGAAGUUCCAGUAAGUAUGAAGUAACAAUUAUUGUCAAGGCAGAAUUGAUUAAUGGACAACAGGUUAGAUGCAGCUUGAGGACAAUACAAAACAUUAUUCAGACGAAAGGAAUUAUGUGAUGUAUGUAACGAGGAGGAACCAGUAUUUUGAAUCAUCAAACCUGAACCAUUCCCAACUUGAACAGUAUCCAUACCAUCAUAAGGCUGCAGGUUGUUAAAUCGGCUACAUUAGCAGUAAUGUGAGCAUUAGCCCCACUGUCAGCAUACCAAGUGUGUUGCUCAAAAGUAUUAUUGGCUUCAGCAGCCAUGGCUGCCAAUUCAGAAGGAGGUCGUCUGCCCUGAAAAGAAAAUUAAACCGUUGAAAGCAAUCCAAUGCAGCAUGACCAAUUUUGUCACAGAUUUGACAUUGUGGUCUGUCAUAUGAAGAAACACGAUCAUUAUGAGGCUGAAUUCUGGAAGGGCCUCGAGAUUGUGGUAAUGCAGAAUGUGGCUGGAAUUUGGCAGGAAUAAGUGCAGGUUUCCUUUUUGGAAAAUGAGAUGCUUUUGCAGCAAAGGCAAAAUUAUGAGAUUGGAUGGGAGUGGAGGCUUCAAGUAAUGUUUCAAAACUGAGAAGUUCAGAUUGAAAAUCAUCCAAAGAUAGAUCCUUAUCUCGACAAGCAAAAUUAUAGGACGUGAUAAAGGGUGUAAAGUUGGGACGAAGUCCUCCAAUUAAAAAUGUAAUGAAGUCUUGUUCAUCUACAGGUUUGCCUGCAGCAGCAAGUUGAUCAGCCAACAGUUUAGCAUCUUCAAGAAAUGCAGAACAUGGUCGGUUGCCUUGAACAAGAGUUUGAAGUUGCCUCUUAAGAAGAGCAAUACGGGAUCUUGAGGUAGAUGAAAAUCGUGCCUGAAGAGAGUCCCAAACUUGUUUGGAAGUCUUUAGAUUAAAGACAGUAGAAACUAACUUCUCAGAAAUGGAAGCAAGUAGCCAGUUGAGAACACAAUUAUCCUUUUUGAACCAAAUUGCGUAGGCUGGAUUAGAAGAAUGAUCUGAAAGAGUUCUGGUUGGUGGCUCUUCAGAACCAUCAAUCAUACCAUUGAGAUCAUGGCUACGAAGAAAAACUUGAAACUGAACACUCCAUGGCAGGUAAUUAUGUCCUUCAAGUCUUUGGCUGACUGGUUGUGAAUUGGAUUGAAUCUUUUGGGGUGAAGAGAACAGGGGAAGAGUUGUAGAAUCAGAUGAAGUCAUAGUUGAGAUGAUGAAAAAGAAGAAAGAGUGGAUUUGUGUUUAAUGUGCGGAAGCUGUGGCAAAUCAAGUGUUAACCUAUGAUUGCUCUGAUACCAUGAAAGAAUUAAAAUAAAGUGAAAGCUGACACAGGAUGAAGAAAAUUAUAUUCACUGCAUUACAUUGUUACUUACAGUGUACAUAUAUAUAUAUAUAUAUAUAUAUAUAUAUAUGUACAAUCUUAAAGAUAAGAUAAGUGAAAGAAUUUGAAAUUUGAAACUAUAGCAGUAUUUGAAUUUGAAGCUAUAACAGAUUAUCUUCAUUCAUCUUCUUCUGAUCUUUCUCCCAUGCUUGAAUCUGCUCCUGAUUUUGUUGAGAUUGUUAUGCUAUUUAAUACUCUAAUAGCCAUUUCAUGGUGGGAAAUUGAUGGCAUCCUUGAGAGCGAUGUGCUGUUGGUGGUUUUUGUGAUGGUGUUUAUAAGAUCCCACAUCGAAAGCGAGCGUUCAGAGCCAAAGCCUUAUAAGUGCAUGCUCACCUUGACUAGUAAGACGCGUUUUUGGGUCAUGCAUGACUGCCAAGAACAAACCCGUGAGGGGGACCUGGGUAGAAGCCCUGGAUUUAGGUGGACUGAGAGGCCCAAAGCGGACAAUAUCUUGCUAGUGAGAUGGGGUGUUACAUUUGGUAUCAGAGCUAAGGACGACUCGUCUUAAGGUGGGGGAAUUGUAAGAUCCCACAUCGAAAGCGAGCGUCCAGAGCCAGGGCCUUAUAAGUGCAAGCUCACCUUGAUUAGUAAGACGCGUUUUGGGGCCAUGUGGCUGCCAAGAACAAACCCGUGAGGGAGACCUGGGUAGAAGCCCUGGAUUUGGGUGGACUGGGAGGUUCAAAGCGGACAAUAUCUUGCUAGUGAGGUGGGGUGUUACAGUGUUGAUCAGGUUAGAUAUUCUUUUUGAUUUUGGUACUCUUUCUAAUUUUUGUAUAAUAGUGAUUUUAUAUUAUUUUAAUGUACUGAUUUCAAAAAUAAUUUUAAAAAAAUAAAAUAACAUCAUUUUAAUAUAUUUCUAAACAAAAACAUUUUAAACCGCAACCGCUACUAUAAUCCCAAACAGUUUCAAAGAGAAGAUUGUAGUGUGUGACAUGGUUAUUAAGCUCGACUUAGGAUUGGCCUGAGUCAAAACUCAAAUCAUGAGUAAGGAGAAUUAACUUAGGUUGAUUAAAAAUAUUAAAUGUCAAAAUGAAGUUUUUUUUUUAAAAAAAGUCACAUGUAUUUUUACUGGGUUUCAACAUCGGAUCAAUUCAAGUUUUUGACUGAGUCACUCAAGGCAAUUUCUCUUUCUAUUUUUUGUGAAAUUCAAACUAGUCUAAACUCUGAGCAAGCUGGUCCGAGUUUUAUAAUAGUGAUUUAUGGUGGAGUGUGAUGGUGUUUUAAGAAGAUGUAGAAUGUGUUUGGAAACCGCAUUCCUUAAAUUUUGAUUUUUUUUGUUAAAAAUAAUAUAUUUUAUGUUUUCAGAUCGUUUUAAUGUGCUAAUAUCAAAAAUAAUUUUUAAAAGAUAUAUAAAAAAAAUUUAUUUUAAUAUAUAUUUUUUUAAAAAUAUUUUAAAUUAUAAUUAUUAUUAUAAUCCCAAAUAUUCUUGUAAGGUUGUGCGAUAAUUAAGUAAGAUGAUGGAACCUUUUGUUUUUUUUUUUUUUUUUUUUAGAAAAAGGUUUGAAAGGCUUGAUUGGCCAUGUAAAAGAGCAGUUGUUGAAUACGAGCAAAACUUUGUUCAUGAAUGCUCAUUUCCUUGGCCACCAGCUUGGAAGGUUGUUGAAGCAUUGCCCCCCUUUUUAUUAUUAUUAUUAUCUUUUUGUUGUUUUAGGACAAUUGGGAGAAGUCUUUUCCUACUGCAAAUGAGAUUCAUGUAUUUAUUUUACAAGCAAAAAUCAAAAUGGUUACGUCAUUGAGGCAUUUGAGAUUUGUACUGAAAUUAUAUAUUUUCAAUCACUAUUCUUUUUACGACUUUCAAUCGAACAAGAUUGACUUUUACAAUCUUAGAAUUCAAGCAAUUUAAAUUUAUAAUAUCAAUAUUGUUUAAAACUAAGUAUCAAAAGGAACUAUUAUUAAUUAAAUCUCUCGAUGAAUUUUGAAUUAUUUUCCUUUACUCAUAUUAGAUCAUCUUUUAUAGUAAUCAAAUAUCAAAUUACUCAUAAUAUAAUGCUUUUAACUUAACUAUUCGUCUAAAUUAAAACCCACAUGUAUGAUAAAGAGUAUAAAUAUAUUUAUGAAGAAGAAAAUAUUAUUUGAAUCAAAUAUAACAUAUAAUAUAAAAGUAUAAUUGCUUUAUAGAUUUUUAGGAAUAUAAUUCAGAUUUAACUUGUUGGUAUUAAGCUUUUUUUUUUAAAUCAAAUUCCUUAUUACCAUCUAACUUGGAUUCAAACAAAUAAUAAUAAAACUUUAUAAAAGAAUAUAUAUGCCCAAGUAAUUGUGAAUCUCAUAAAUAUUUGAUUUGGAAUGUCGUAGCAUAGCAUUGUAUGAGAAUUUUAUAUUAUUUGUUUUUAUACAUAGCACUAGUUUUUUUUUUUUAAAUAAUUGUGUUAUAUAAUGUUAUCAAAUUAUACAAAUGACCCAGACUAGCAGGACCAAGUGCGGACAGCAACCUUCUGCUCAAUUUGUAUAUUGUCUUUCUUGCUAGCUUGUCGGCUUUAUAGCACUAGCAUUGAUUAAUAAUAUAUCCUUGAUUUUUUUAAAAAAAAAUCUUCUGCCCACCUGCACGUUUAAUUGGAUGAAAGUUUUAAAUUUCAAGAAUCAAGAUUUCGUUUGAUUUUAGGAGGAAAAAACAAUAUUGGUCCAAUUGUGGACUUAGUGGUUUGGUAUUUGAUUUUUUUUUUUUUCUGAUUCCAUAUCGGUGAAUGUCUAUCAUAAUUAAUUAUGGUAUAAUUCUAGGAGAUUUUUUGUAAUUAUUUUUAAAAAAUAUUUUUAACUCUAAGAAAAAACUUCUUGAAUAUAAUCUUCUUAAGAGAUAAGCUAUUAUAAAACUAACAUACAAACUUAACAAAAUAAAACAUAAAAAAUAUGAUAAAAUGACAAAUAACACAUAAAAAUUUACCUGAUUAACCCAAUUAAACUAUAUUUAUGAACAAAUAUAGAAGAAUUUUAUUAAUUAAUGUGAAAAUUACAACUUUUUUAUUAAAAAGAAGAACAGUUAAAAUUUCUCAAUUACUAAAAAAAAUAUAAUUUAUUCUGUUAUAAAUACCGGAUUAUUUUUCCAUUCUUGCCUUCAUUUUUCUCUCUCGUGCUGUGUUUAAGGCUCGGAUGUAUUAUUUAUUUAUAGACAAGUCAAGUAUUCAUGUGCCUAUAGCAAGUGGCACCAAUGCCUAUCUGGCUUCACAUAAGUCUCUCUAUAUAUUGCUACCUCGAUGUGCAAAAUCUUCUCAGAAAAUAUGGAUCCAGGAUUUUUGCAAAGAUUGUUCAGUCUUGUAUCCUCAGCUGAAAUUCUAGUUCUACUUCUUUUACCUCUAACAUUUAUCAUCCUCAAGAACAUUACAAGGUCAUGUUCUAAAAGCAAGUAUCUUCCACCUGGUCCAAAGCCAUGGCCUAUCAUAGGCAACCUUCUCCAUAUGGGGAAUCAGCCUCAUGUCUCCUUGGCAGAAAUUGCAAAAAUUCAUGGCCCCCUCAUCUCGCUAAGGCUAGGAACUCAACUCCUUGUUGUUGGUUCUUCAGCAAAGGCAGCAACUGAGAUUCUCAAAACUCACGAUCGAUUCCUCUCUGCUCGACACGUACCUCAAGUGAUUCCUCGGGAAAGCCAUGUCCUUCGCCGGGUUGCGCUCGUCUGGUGCCCUGAAAGCAUUGAUACAUGGAAAUUGCUACGAGGAUUGUGUAGGACUGAGUUAUUUUCAGCCAAAGCAAUAGAGUCAAAUGCGACUUUGAGAGAGAAGAAAGUUGGGGAGUUGAUGGAUUUUUUGGUAGCAAGAGAAGGAAAAGUUGUUAGCAUUGGAGAAGUAGUGUUUAGUACUGUAUUCAACACAAUAUCGAAUCUUUUAUUCUCCAAUGAUCUUGCUGGUUUGGAAGAGAAAGGGAUGUCAAGUGGAUUGAAGAGCCAUGUUCGGAAGCUGAUGCUGUUGAUUGCUGCUCCAAACAUAGCUGAUUUUUAUCCUAUAUUUGCAGGGUUGGAUCCUCAAGGUUUAAGAAGGAAAUUAUCCAAGCUUGUUGAAGAAACUUUUGCUACAUGGGCAAUCAACAUCAAGGAAAGAAGAAAUAGCUAUGUCCAUGAUUCUCCUAAAAGAGAUUUCUUGGAUGUUUUUCUUGCAAAUGGGUUUGACGACGAUCAAAUCAAUUGGUUAGCCUCAGUAUGAACAAACAAAAUACCUUUUGCUUUUAUUCCCAUGUAUUAAUUUGGUUUGAAUCCGAUGGAAUCUUGACAGUAUGUAAUUUCUGUUGGUUUGCUUUGCAGGAAUUGUUCAGCGCAGGCACAGACACUGCUGCCACAACAAUAGAGUGGGCAGUGGCCGAGAUACUGAAGAACAAAGAAGUUCUGGAAAAAGUUGAAGAAGAGCUCGAAAGAGAAACCACAAAGAAUACAAUUUCUGAAUCUGAUGUCUCUCAGCUUCCAUAUCUAAAUGCAUGUAUAAAGGAAACCUUGAGGUUACACCCUCCUGUGCCAUUGCUUGUUCCACAUCGCGCUACCGAGACCUGUGAGGUUAUGAAGUACACAGUUCCGAAGGAUUCUCAAGUUCUUGUGAAUGUCUGGGCAAUCAGCCGUGAUCCGUCGACCUGGGAAGACCCAUUAUCAUUUAAACCUGACAGGUUUCUUGGCUCAAAUGUGGACUUCAAAGGUGGCAACUACGAGUUUCUUCCAUUCGGUGCUGGAAGAAGAAUCUGCCCUGGAUUACCCAUGGCCAAUAAACUUAUCCCCUUGAUUUUAGCCUCUUUGAUCCGUUGUUUUGACUGGUCACUUCCCAAUGGUGAGGAUCUUGCAAGGUUAGACAUGAAGGAUAAGUUUGGUCUUGUUUUGCAGAAGGAGCAACCUCUACUUCUUGUUCCCAAAAGAAGAUUGUAAUUUCAGACUGGUUAUUGUCUACGUGCUGCUCUAAUAUGUUUUAGAUCUACACAAAAUAAAAAGCUGUAAGCUUCAAUAAAACUCGAUUUUCAUUUUGAGUACCAUGGGGUGUUGUUUUUUUGUCUCAUAUCCCCAAACCAAUUUGUCCAGAUUUUCAUAAAUAUCAAAUCCUAUCUAGCAGUCAGCAGCCAUUCCAGUCUUAUCUUAGCCAAGGACCAAGGGCCAAGCCAAGUGGGCAGUGCAUUUAAUGUUAAUAUAAAAAAUAAAAAUAAAAAUAAAAACAUAUAAAAAAAUUUAUUUUGAUUAUUUUUAAUUAAAAAACAUUACUAUUUUGUGUAAAAAUAUAAUCAUGGCAUAUAGGAUUAUAAUUAUGAGUAAUCUUUUAUCUAUUAGGACUAAAACAUGUUCUCUGUAAAUAUGUGCUUAAGCUUAGUUUCUUUUAAGGAUGAUCUUGUAUGCUCGUGUUAAAAAAAAAAAAAAAUUAGCAAGAGAGAUUUAUAUUAUGUUGUGAGGAUUUAAUGUAUUUGGGAUUAAAGUUUACAAUUAGUUUUUUAAAACUUAUACAAAUUAUGAUUAUAAUAAUUUUUAUUUUAUUAACAUGGAUAUCCGGGUCAGCUUGGGCGCACCUCGAUUAAUUCUACGGGUCUUGAAAUUAACGACCAUGUAAGCUUCUAGUGGUCCUGAAAUUUAUAAGACUCGAACUGUUAAUUUUUAAAAAACAAACUUAGAAUUUCUUUACUUAAGUUACACCCUUUAGGGGGUGUAAAAUUUUAUUUUUUACUUCUAGAUGUAGGCAUAGACUAAUAACGUAAAAUCAGUGUGUAAUUUAUUUAUUUAUUUUUUCGAUGUGCUCUAUGUCUAUGGGUGCCAGUUUUAACAAAAUACCCUUACAAUUUUUCCUCCAUGCCAAACAUAUCAUAGAGAGUGAAUACAUUGUAAUUGGGUCGGGUCUCCCAAAAUAUGGGUCGCAAAAGGCACAAAAAUAAUUCAUAAGCCCAAGAACCUCUUUAUAUGGGCUCAUUGUUUGUAACAAUAGGUCAGACUAAGUUACUUAUGGGCUGAGCUUUGGUAAUCCCAAGAACUUCAAAGUCAGCCCACAUGUAAGCUUACAUGGCCAACUUCCAAUUUCCAAACAUGGCCUGGCAUCCGAUUUGUUUUAUAUAUUUUCUAGUGCAAUUUUAAAUGUGAACAAAUAAUAAUUCAAGUUGCAGGAAAUUCAUUGUUAUUAUUAUUAAACUCAGUUUAGUGAGUUAAAUUUAAAAAAUCUUGACUUGAAUCCACGCUAAUUCUGGAUUUUUAAUUAAAUUAAAUGAUAGUUGUAUCAAUCUGAAUCAAUUAAUUUUGUUGGUUCAAGAUAAAAAAAAAACAAAAUAAAAAAAAAUUGACAUAAAAAAAAAAUUUGAUGCACAUAUUUAAAGGUAACCUAAAUAAUUAUUGAAAAUAAUUUAAUUUUUUUUUAAAAAAAUUAAAGCUGAUAAUUUUUUAAAAAUAUUGAGAUGAUUAUUUGUUAGAUUAAUUUUGACUAAUUCAAGUUAACCAAACCUAAAAUAUUAUAACACAACUCGAUUUGUUUUCCGGAUAUAUUUAUAAAGGAAACCAUUACCAUUGAACUCUUCUCAUAUAAUAUGUUAACAUCAAGUUUGAUCAAUUUUUUAGUUGAUAUUACAACAUCAACCAUUUUCUCUCUUUUCAUUUUCAGUUACCCUUCUCUCUCUCCUUCUUAACUUAUGGACUAAAAAUUAAUAAAAUAAUCUUUUUUACUAAAAUAAAAAUUGUGAUGAAUUUAAGGUGAGCCUUGUAUUUUUUUUUUGUGUUUUAAUUUAUACUUUAAUUUCAUAUAAUCAAACCAUAAAAUAAUACGAUUAAAGUUUUUUUUGAACUAUUAAAAAAAUAAUCGGGUGGUUCACUGUUUAUAUAAAACAGCACAAACAAACCUUAAACUUUUUUAGUUUUUGUUAACAUAUCACUGCUAAAAUUAUUUUUUAAAUAAAAAUAGAGUAUUAAUUUAAUUAAUACUAAAUAAAAUUAAUUUAUUAUUUUCAUAAGAAAUAAAAAUAAAAAAUAAAUAAAUUUUAUUUAAAAAAUAACACCAACAGUAUAGUAUAAGUUUUUAAACAAAAAUCGUUCCUAAAUAAAAUUUUUAUAAUUAAUAUAUUUUUCUGUUAUUCGAAAGUAUUCUUAAAAGUAAUUUAUAAUAACACUAUGAAAUUUUUGGAAAAGGAAGGCUUAGAAAUAAUUUAAAAAAUAGGCUGGGUUAUUUUCAAAUGUAAUUUUUUAAUUUCCAUCUCAUGUUUUUAACAGUCCAGUUUUCCUUCAAAAGUAACUGUUCCACUUUAUAUUAAUGGCGCAGUUUGGAUUUUUUUUAAAUCGUCUCUUCUUGUAGAAAAAAGAAGAAGAAUCUAUGAGAUAUAUGGAAUAUGGAAAAUAAUAUUUAAUUAGAAUAAAAAUAUGCCGUGGCUGAAUAAGAAACAGCAAUAUUUUACAAAGUAAUGAGAAAUUAUCCGGCGGGUUCAUUCGGGCCUAAAUCAAUCUGAAAAUAAACAAAAAAAAUAACCUUUACUGUACUUUCGAGUACCUUCUCAAUAUCAAAUAUUAGCCAAGUGGCGCCACCAAACAAAUUUCUCAAAAAAUUAUUAAAAUAAUAUAUUAACGUGGUAUACUACUAUUCAUACAAUCAGUCAAAACGACCCCGUCCUUUACUUGUACAGAGUAAACUGUUAAUAUUAAAUUAAAUUACUAGUCAAAUUCAUCAUGACAAGAGAAUAAACAAAGAAAAAAUAGCAGCUAAUUAUUAACCGGCCGGUGGGAAAUACCAACUGCAAAUUGUUUAAACCUAUAUAGUCAAACAUCAUAUAGCAGACAUUAUCGUUGCAUUGACGUUAUCUAUUGUUAAUUCUAAUUUACAGUUCAUACUUAAGCUUGUUUGUCUAUUGUCCAGUGGCUCUUCCCCAGUUUAUGCAGUUGAUGCAGUAUUUUAGAUUAUAAAAAUAAUUAUUUUUAUUUAAAAAUAUAUUAAAAUAAUAUAUUUUUAAUUUUUUUAAUAUUAACACAUCAAAACAAUUAAAAAACAAAAAAAAAAUUAAUUUAAACAAAAAAAAAUCUAAAUUUUAACCAACCCAGUUGUGAAUAUGGUCACUCUUUUGCUGUCAUUGCAAACAUUUUCUUCUAAUUUCCUUGAAUUAACCUCAAAUUAGCACCUCAUCUAUCCACUAAUUCUCAGCUUAAUUAGCCCCCUCCCCCCCUAAAAAAAAAGAAAAAGAAAAAGAAACCAGCCAUGAUUCCUUAAUUAAUCAACAAAUCAUUUUAGAACAAAGAGUUUUAAUUAUUCAUAAGUACGACGUUCUAUUCAUUGUAAACCUUAAAAAUAUAACUGAUAUAUGAAUUUAUAUAUUAACGAAAAAUGUUUUUCUUGGAUAUGGAGAUAGAAGUACGUAGCAGCAAUGACACGCAAUUUUUUAUUAAGCUUUGGCCGGAAAACUGCAGUACUGUGUGUGGGUGCAAGAGGGGUACGUACGUACUUGUGUAGUGACGACUCCCGUCCGAGCAUUGAACCUUCGAGACCAUCUCCACAUGGUCAUGUAAUAAUUAUAGAAAACUAGGUGAGCUCUUGGAAGGGCUCCAAUGGCUGAAACAGAUCGUGAUUUUCUAGUAAUUUAUUUGUUGAAGAAGCAGGCCAGUUCGUACUGCGGCACGAUGUGAUCAACUGGCCGUCUGCUCAUUUUCUCAGCUUACCUGGACAGUAUCUACUGGACUGGAGUCGCCUAGCCCACUCACUUACUCUCCCAUCCUCUCUUACAACCAUAUUAUUUUAUUGAAGUAAACGAAAUCAGUACCAUUUAUUAUAAUAUGAUCUCUCUUUCCAUUUUAGAGCUAUAAUAUUUGUGCAUCGUUACCAACUUCACAUGAUCAACUUGAUUCAAAACCUAUUAUAUGUCUCUCUUUCAACCCUUUUUCGCUUAAACUCUCCCAGACCACAAUAAAUAGAGGGUUUUAUUGAGAGAAGGAAACAUUCAGUAAGAAGAAAUUAAAACCCAGCCAGGGAGAAUUUGCGUAGCUAGCCAUGGCUAGUGCUAAUCAACAAUACCAUGGAGCCACCUUCAAACCCCACAAACACUUCGCUGCCAACAGCCCUUUCUUCUUCAAGAAGACCAACCUCUACACCUUAGCCCUCCUCCUUGUCCUUUGCACCUUCUCUUAUCUCUUUGGCGUCUGGCGCCACGACGGCGGCGGCAGUGUCCUAUCCGUUAAUAAGAGCGCCGCUACUGCCACCACCAACACCAUUGUUUCAACCCCAUGUGACCCCUCGAAAGCCACCGCUGCUGCAACAAAAGGGGAGAAGCCCCUUGACUUUUCGUCCCACCACAAGGCAGAUGAUUUAGAUUCCACGUUCACAUCAGAAGUCAAAACCUACCCAUCAUGCAACGUGAACUUCAGCGAAUACACACCGUGUGAGGAUGCAAAAAGAUCAUUGAAAUUCAACAGGCACCGAUUGAUAUACAGAGAAAGGCAUUGUCCGGAGAAACAUGAGAUACUAAAGUGUCGUAUACCAGCUCCACACGGGUACAAGAACCCUUUUAAAUGGCCUGCUAGUAGGGAUUUUGCUUGGUACAAUAACGUGCCACACAAGCAUCUAACGGUGGAGAAGGCAGUGCAAAACUGGAUCAGGUUUGUAGGUGAUCGGUUUAGAUUCCCUGGUGGGGGGACUAUGUUUCCUAAUGGUGCUGAUGCUUAUAUUGAUGAUAUUGGAAGAUUGAUCAAUCUCAAAGAUGGGUCUAUUAGGACUGCCAUUGAUACUGGUUGUGGGGUACGUAAUCAAGCUCUUGAUCCUUAAUCUCUACACAUAUUUUACUCCUUUUUUUUAUUUCUUUAAUCUUAGCUUAUUAAAUUAAUAUUUUAUUUUCAUUUUGCUCCCGAUUUUUUUAAUUUUAAAAUGUUUUUACUCUUAAAAAUAGUGAAGAUAAAAACAAAAAGAUGAAGUCUUUUCGUGUUCCUAGAUAAGCACCCAUUAAUUGGAUUUUAAGUCUUGUAACGGUGUUUAGAGAUUUAAGUAUAUGACAUUGGUAUAUGUGACUCCAUGUUUCGAAACUUUACAAGUUUCUGCGGCCAAAUUAACAAGUUGGAUUUGUAAUUAACGAUUUAUUAAAUGUGGGAUAUGGAUCUAACAUUAGGGUUAAUUAAGAGCCUUGGUUUUUGAAUUAUUGUUUUUUUGUUCAUUUGAAGAACAGUCAAUUUUUUUUUGUGCAAGUGAACAAGGGAAUGAGACAAAUAUGGAAUUUUCAAUGAAUUUGUUAGAUUUCAACAUUGCUGAAAUAUAGCUAUCAUUGAAAAUAUGAGUAAUUAAUGAGAUUUGAUUUACUACUAAAUAUAUAAAGCCUUAAGAAGUCGAGAAAUGCUCUUAGGAUAGUCAAAGACAAUCCAGGUAUAAUUUAGACCGUUUGAUUUUUUAAUUAAUUAAUCAUUUAUUUUCCCCAAAAAUCACUAUCUAGAUAAUUUAGACCGUUGAUUUGAUAUCCUCCACCAGUAAAAUUCAAUCAUUCAAAGAUUUAGAUUAUCUCGGGAAAAUGAUUUCGGCAAGAAUCUUUGUAUAAAACUGUCACCACUCUUUGUAUAUUUUCCAGUCCCUGAACUUUGCUAGGACUGGUGCAGGUUGCAAGUUGGGGAGCAUAUCUUCUGUCACGCAAUAUAUUAACAAUGUCAUUUGCACCGAGGGACACUCACGAAGCACAAGUGCAAUUUGCCCUAGAACGAGGAGUUCCUGCCCUGAUCGGAGUUUUGGCCUCAAAAAGGCUGCCAUACCCAUCUAGAGCUUUUGACAUGGCACAUUGCUCUCGUUGCCUCAUUCCGUGGGCCGAAUCCGGUACAUAUGCAUAUACCUCAAAUCAAAUCUGAUUAUCUCAAACAAAAUUAUGGCUUGAUUUAUAUUAUAUAGUGCAGUGGUUGAAUCUAAAAGUAUUUUUUUUCUUCUCGGUAUGGAACAGGAGGACAGUAUUUGAUUGAAGUUGAUCGAGUUCUAAGACCUGGUGGGUAUUGGAUUUUGUCUGGUCCUCCAAUUAAUUGGAAAAAAUAUUGGCAGGGCUGGGAAAGAACAAAAGAUGAUUUGAAUGAUGAACAGAUGAAAAUUGAGGCUGUGGCUAAAAGCUUAUGUUGGAAAAAAUUUGUGGAGAAAGGAGACAUUGCUAUAUGGCAAAAACCACUCAAUCACUUGAAUUGUAAGGUUACCAGGAAGAUUACACAAAAUCUACCUUUCUGUCCUGCUCAGGAUCCUGACAAAGCCUGGUACAUACAUGUGUUUUUCAACAAAAAAAAAAAAAAAUAGAUUUUCUUGUAUGUUCUAUGCAUCUUGAUCAAUUCCAUUCCAUUUUUUAGGUACACAAGCACGGAGACAUGUUUGACUCACUUGCCUGAGGUAUCUAACAAGGAGGACGUCGCCGGCGGAGAAUUGCCGAAAUGGCCUGAGAGAUUGAAUGCUGUGCCACCACGGAUUAGUAGGGGAACUUUGGAAGGAAUCACAGCUGAGACUUUCCAGAAAGAUACAGCUCUAUGGAAUAGGAGAGUAUCUUAUUAUAAAGCUGUAAAUAACCAAUUAGAACAAGCUGGUAGGUACCGCAACAUUUUGGACAUGAACGCUUACUUGGGUGGAUUCGCUGCUGCUCUUACCGAGGACCCUCUUUGGGUUAUGAAUGUGGUUCCUGUCCAGGCUAAGGUUAACACUCUUGGAGUAAUUUAUGAACGAGGAUUAAUUGGAACAUAUCAGGACUGGUAAGCAGAGAUCGAACAUAAACUAAUCUGGUUUGGUUAGAGUUAUAAUAUUUAAAACCAAGUGGUUAACUUGUCUUAUGAUUUCAUUUCUUUUACAGGUGUGAAGCCAUGUCUACGUAUCCAAGAACUUAUGACUUAAUCCAUGCUGAUUCUGUAUUUAGCCUCUAUGACGGCAGGUAAUUAAUUAUUUUUCUAUGUUGAUCAGACAGAUCGUUUGUUGCUUUCCUGUUCCAAAAUAGCAGAAUCAUGGUCAACUACGCUGUUAUUUUAAUAUGAAAUAAUAAUAAUAAUAAAAAUCCAUGUGAGACAAGUACCAAACACAUGGGGACUCUACAGGAUAAGGGUCUAGUUAGGAGGGCAAAAAAAUUGCUCUUUCAUUAUUAAUUUUAUAAUUUAUUUUUCAUAUAUAUUUAUGUAAGAUAGAAUUAAUUGUGGAAUUACUAAAUGGGAAAUGUUUUGAUGAAUUUUAUCCUCCAUGGAUUUUUGUUACAGAUGUGAAAUGGAGGAUAUUUUGCUAGAGAUGGAUAGGAUUCUGAGGCCUGAAGGAAGUGUAAUCUUUAGAGAUGAUGUUGAUGUGUUGGUGAAGAUCAAGAAAAUAAGUGAUGGACUGAACUGGGAUAGUCAAAUUGUUGAUCACGAAGAUGGACCUCAUCAGAGGGAAAAGCUUCUUUUUGCUAUCAAGACCUACUGGACAGCUCCUGCUGAAGGCCGCCGCCAUGAGUCCACCACAUCUUCCUGAGGAGCUUCGCUUCCAUUUGCUUAAUUUGUUUUCUGUUUAGAUUUCUUUUCUCAGCUCUCUCAAAUAUGAUUCUUUCUUCGAAUAGUUAGAGCACAGCCAAUUCAUCAGAUAAACUCUAGAAAUUAUGUUACCGAUCCUCUUGAAUUGGACACAGAAGUGCCUAGCCUCUUGUUUCAGGCUUUGUAUCUACCUUCAUGGAAACGGGCUUGUGCCCAAAUCAAGAACAUGUUUUGUGCUGGGCACUUUUCCUACACAUAAACUCGAUGAUCUAACUACAAUAUUGAACUCAACACAUUUGUUACGAGCUCAAAGCUUCUGUUAGGUGAGUCAUGUAAAAGAUCAACCAUAUCUAGCCAAGCUCAAACUAUAAAUCAAGGCAGAGAUUAGCAUAAUGAGAUAUCAAGCAAGCUAGCUAGCAAUCACACAGAAGCUCUAGAAAUUUAGUCUCUUAGCUCCCCAGCAGACAUGGCAACACUCAAGUCUCUUAGGUCCCCAGCAGCACUGCUUCUCUUGCUCAUUGCACUCGCAGUGCAGACUCACCUGGCUCACUCGCAGAUAUGCACAUCCCAGCUCAACAGCCUGAAUGUCUGUGCACCAUUUGUGGUGGCUGGUGCACCGAACACCAACCCUAGUACUGAUUGUUGUAAUGCACUGGGUGCAGUGCAACAUGACUGCCUCUGCAACACUCUCCAGAUCGCGGCUCGCCUCCCUUCUCAAUGCAAUCUUCCACCUAUCACUUGCGGUAACUAGAGCUAGCAGGUAUGAACUUCGUAAAUCAAAUUUUUAAAAUUAAAUUGCCAGGAAGUAUUAGGUAAUAUUAAUUAAAUCUCAAAAGCAAUUGUGUAAUUUUUUUUAAUAAAGAAUAUAAAAAAAUACAUAAUAGGUUGAACUUUUAAGUUUAGAUAAUUUUUUAAUAUAAAAUUUAUAUUUUAAUAAUUAAACGAUUACAAAUUUAUAUUUCACUACUUUUAUUUUAUUAAUUAAAUUAUAAAUACAUUAAACACAAUAUGCUGUAAACUUAUAUAAAUUUCAAGCUUUAAAAAGACUAUAUAAAAGAGUAAUAUAGUUUUUUAUAAUAAUUUAAGCUAUGAGUUUUCUUGUUUUUUUUUCUUGAAGAAAGUGACGGGUCUUGUCGACGAAAACAAUUUUACUCUCUGUACCAACUGUUGUUAGCAAUUAAAAUAUAUAAUAUGAUCCAACAUUCAUAUCUAAGCAUGAAUUAUCCAUCCCUUAUCAUAGUAGUUUGACUUGGAUUUUUUUUAAUAAUAAUAAUAAUAUAUGUCUAUCGUCUCUUCGCAGGUACAAGACAAGCAUGAAGCUGUUGGCAGGAGACUGAAAAAGAAUAUUAGUGUAAUUGGAACUUCAAUCAUUGAAGCUUAUGAUCCAGCAAUCUUCCUUUUCUCUUUCAAAUGUAUUCCGAUCGAUGAUCUGUAACCAAGCAGAAGCUUCAUGCUGAUUAAUAAAUAAAACACAUUAUUAAUUAGUUGCUAAUUCUAUCGUAAUGGUGACUGGAUAUAU
rnacentral:lncRNA from 1 species